CUAAUAUUUUAAUAAAUAAUUAUCAAAAGGUAAGUGUAUAAUAACCAAUACAAGAUGACAUUUAGAUGUAAAUUGCUGUAUAUCAUAUUAUUAAUAAAUUCACCUACAAUUUGUCUGGUAAAAAAUGGUAUAUCAAUACCCAAUGAAAUAAAUAUGUAACAACCCAUUUUAUAAUGUGUAAACAACCUUUCUUCUGUAUAAAAAUGUUAAUGUUAACAAUUAACAAGAAUAAAUUCAAUAAACUUUAAAUAAAUUCAAAAUCUCUUAUUUCUCAAAAGCAUAAAAUAUAAAUGCAUAAUAAACAAGAUUUAACAGUAUAUAAUAAAAAAAAAGAAGGAUGAAGUAUCAAUCCAACACAAAAUCAGUACAUGCACAGAAAAAAAAAACCCACAAAAAGCAAUCAUUGAUGUUCAACAUCUCAAUCACAUCACCUCAUCUCAGUGCAAGUUGAAGACAGCCCUUAGCACCUGUUUGAGUGGACUUCAUAGUAUGAAAGGAGUGUAUGAAUAUUUAUAACAGUACUAAAAAUUCAGAAAUUAUUGUGUGCAUUUAUUAUUACAAUUCACACUAAAAAUUCAGAAAUUAUUGUGUGCAUUUAUUAUUACAAUUCAUAGACUAAAAUGCAAUUCUAAUUUUUGCAAUAUUGAGAAAAAUCUUGUUAAAUUCAUAUAAAAAAUUUCAAAAAGGAAGUUUAAGUUAUUGUGAUUAUUACCCUGGCACAUUUUU
rnacentral:lncRNA from 1 species